AUUCACCUACGGGGCGCAGCAGUGAGGAAUAUUGGUCAAUGGGAGAGAUCCUGAACCAGCCAAGCCGCGUGAGGGAAGACGGCCCUAUGGGUUGUAAACCUCUUUUGUCGGAGAACAAAACCCGGGACGAGUCCCGGACUGCGUGUAUCCGAAGAAAAAGCAUCGGCUAACUCCGUGCCAGCAGCCGCGGUAAUACGGAGGAUGCGAGCGUUAUCCGGAUUUAUUGGGUUUAAAGGGUGCGUAGGCGGUCCGUUAUGUCAGCGGUA
rnacentral:rRNA from 1 species